rnacentral:lncRNA from 1 species
CCCCGGCCCCACCAGAGGGCAUCAGCUAUGCCUAGCAAUUACGCCCCCGUGGCUAAAUUAAACUCCCAUUGGCUAAAUUAGGCUCGAAGAGAGGGGCACCUGCUGCUAAGCUGUGUAUGUUGUCCCCUAGGACUCCCACCGUUUGCUGAGCUCCACAUGACAACAGCAGACGACAGGCCGCACUGAUCCCACCUGGCUUACAGGUGCUGUCACACAGGACUGCUGACUAAACACUUUCAAGCACAGUGGACCCUUGAACAACGCAGGUUCAAACUGUGCAGGUCCACCCACAGGGAUGUUUUUCAAUCAGAGUUAUACCAAGUGUCCCUGCCUCUCCUGCCUCCCUUCCCACUUCCUCCAUGUCUUCCUCUCUGCCACCCUGAGGCAGCAAGACCAGCCCCUCCUCCUCAGCCACUCAACAUGAAGACAACGAGGAUGAAGACUUCUAUGAUAAUCCACUUCCACUUAGUAAAUGCUUUCUCUUAUGAUAUUCUUAAUGACAUUUUAUUUUCCCAAGCUUAGUUUAUUGUAAGAAUACAGUAUAAAUACACAUACAAAGUACGUGUUAACU